rnacentral:sRNA from 1 species
GCUGGGCGUGGUGGUGCAUGCCUGUAAUCCCAGCUACUUGGGAGGCUGAGGCAGGAGAAUCACUUGAACCCGGGAGGCAGAGGUUGCAGUGAGCCAAGAUCGUGCCAUUGCACUCCAGCCUGGGUGACAGAGUAAGACUCUGUCUCAA